rnacentral:rRNA from 1 species
GCUCAAAGAUUAAGCCAUGCAUGUCUAAGUAUAAGCAACUAUACGGUGAAACUGCGAAUGGCUCAUUAAAUCAGUUAUCGUUUAUUUGAUAGUACCUUACUACAUGGAUAACCGUGGUAAUUCUAGAGCUAAUACAUGCUAAAAACCCCGACUUCGGAAGGGGUGUAUUUAUUAGAUAAAAAACCAAUGCCCUUCGGGGCUCUCUGGUGAAUCAUAAUAACUUAACGAAUCGCAUGGCCUUGCGCCGGCGAUGGUUCAUUCAAAUUUCUGCCCUAUCAACUUUCGAUUGUAGGAUAGAGGCCUACAAUGGUAUCAACGGGUAACGGGGAAUUAGGGUUCGAUUCCGGAGAGGGAGCCUGAGAAACGGCUACCACAUCCAAGGAAGGCAGCAGGCGCGCAAAUUACCCAAUCCCGACACGGGGAGGUAGUGACAAUAAAUACUGAUACAGGGCUCUUUUGGGUCUUGUAAUUGGAAUGAGUACAAUCUAAAUCCCUUAACGAGGAACAAUUGGAGGGCAAGUCUGGUGCCAGCAGCCGCGGUAAUUCCAGCUCCAAUAGCGUAUAUUAAAGUUGUUGCAGUUAAAAAGCUCGUAGUUGAACCUUGGGCCUGGCUGGCCGGUCCGCCUCACCGCGUGCACUGGUUCGGCCGGGCCUUUCCUUCUGGGGAGCCGCAUGCCCUUCACUGGGCGUGUCGGGGAACCAGGACUUUUACUUUGAAAAAAUUAGAGUGUUCAAAGCAGGCCUUCGCUCGAAUACAUU